rnacentral:rRNA from 1 species
UACGGAGGGUGCAAGCGUUGCUCGGAAUUAUUGGGCGUAAAGGGUAGGUAGGUGGUCUCGUUUGUCUGUGGUGAAAGCCUUGAGCUUAACUCAAGAAGUGCCCCAGAAACGGCGAGACUGGAGUCUUGGAGAGGGUCGUGGAAUUCCCGGUGUAGCGGUGAAAUGCGUAGAGAUCGGGAGGAACACCAGAGGCGAAAGCGGCGACCUGGACAAGUACUGACACUCAACUACGAAAGCGUGGGGAGCAAACAGG